UGGAGAUGAACUCGGAUCUGAAGGCGC
rnacentral:piRNA from 1 species